AGAUGAUAAUAUUUACUGGUGUAUAAUUAACUUCAAACGGAUAUUCUACAUUGACCAAGGUUGGAAUAGGUAAGACCAAAGGCCCAAACAUAAAAAAGGUUAGCGACGUAUAAACAGCCACUACAUAAGCACUAUAAAGGACGUUGCAUUUUACUAUAUGUGCGAUGAAAAUUUCUCUUUCGAACUGCUGCGCCUCGUUCACACAUUUCACCAUCUCUCCAAUUAUACGCUACAACAUGUUUCAAACAUCAAUGCUUCCGACGCGAAUUAAUUGCUGAAGGGACGCGAGGUUGAACUUACUUGCAGCGAGUCGCGCUUCUUCCAACAUAUACAAGUCUGAAUAACUAGUUGCGUGGUGUAUAUCGUUAAGGUGAUACAUUUGAAGAGAGCGUCCAAGUAAAAACUUAUAUCGUCUAAGUACAAAUAAAUCGAGUACAACGAAGGCACAAGAAUCAGAAAAGCGUUGAUGACAAUACAAAUUUGUGCAAUUUUGUAACUGCCGCGGCUUCUGCCGCUAUUGUCAGCAGAUGGCCAACAAAAGCUUAAAGCUACACUGAGCCGAGUAAACUGGAUUACAUCUUCCGGUGUUAUUUGUUUCGACAUAAUCUCAACAAACUUUUACAUCUAAUGAAUCGAACUAAACACGUUUCAAUUCGCACAGUAGGAAGAUAUGUCCAGGUUCUUGGGAGCCAGGUGCGAAUCAAUAAAUGAUACUGAAAAUACGCAGGAACAACUCGUGUUUAUUGGAAAGUACGGAGUUCUUAUACUACUGUUAGGUGCUUCGAUGGUAAGAAUUAUUAAUUGCAUUAUGCAUUUGCACGUUUCUGGUUACUAGAGAGGCACAAAGGCACGUUAUUACGUACAGCCGACAAUAUUCAAGUUGCAGAACCUUCUUCGAAAAUGCAACGUGGCAUAUGUGCACGAUGCCAUAUAUUUAGUAUCUUGGGCGAUAUGUAUAGCUAAGACUAAAAUAAUAACAAAGUUUUCCAUCUAAACAUCUAGUAGUUGUAUCGACUUAUAUUUCUUUGAGGAUGAGUCUGGAUGAUUUCUCAUGACAUCGUUGUAAAAAACGGGUGAUCUGUGAUUACAAGCGUAGUCAACGCGAAGACAUUUGAUGCGGUCCUCUGUCUGCUCAAUACCAUCUAUGGAAGAAAUAAUGGACAACCCGUAACCCUACACAACGGUAAUAUUAACGGUUUUCUUCGUGCGCAUGCAUCCUGAAAAUAAUGAGUUUUAAUGUAUAUUUUCAUUGAAACAACUAGUUUGGAAUUUCUUUCUUUAUGAGUAUCCUUUCAUCAUAUUCUAGUCUUCACUACAUAUUACGUAUUUAGGAUAUACUAGUGGUCUUGUACCAUGGUACGCAAAGCAGUACAAAAGGAGAAGGCGUUGGACACGAACUGAAAUGAUAUCAACCCGUUAUUUAUAUACGUAUUAUUCGUAAUUAACCUGUUAAUCAGGGGAAACUAGAUAACGUGUCACUGACAUUGCUAAUCUCUUGAACAUAAUAUCUUCAUUUAAUAUUCUCUAUAUUUUUCCGCGAGCUUUCUUCAUAUUUCUUCCUAUUAACCUUCCUAUCAAUUAUCCUGUAUUUACAUUUACGCGAUCCAAAACCGAACAAAAUGACAUCAUUAUGUUUUAAUUCCACGACCGUAGACUUUUUUUACUCAGUUACGACCUGAUUAACAGGAUAAUUUAUUCAUUUCCCAGUUUCUUGCCUUCAGACUCAUUACAUACUUAUAACGGGUGUAUGUAAAUAUGCAACAAGUAAGAAUGCACGAAAAUGUGUAAAUAUAUACACUGUCAAAACGAAUGAUAGUACAUAAAUAUCGAUAAUCUAUUCACCAUCAUGAUUGACAUUGGAGAUAUUGAUUUGCCUUACCGAACAAUAAAAACGUAAAUUAAGCUCUGGCAUAAAGCAACUGACAGAAAGUGUCACUGGUUUCUGAUGGACCAAUGCGGUUCGAAGAUCGUUAGUUACAAUUUCGAGUGCAAAAAACACGGAGGACAAUUUCGUAACAGAUUGCAUCUCAGAAUUUCGCACUGACACAUCACUAUGGGGUUCGAUGCCAUGAUAACUUCCUGCAAGCAAAGGAUAGCGUUAAUAACGAUACUUCUUGCAUCUAAUGGUAAAUUGCAUACAUUUUUAUUCCUCCGAUCAUCCAAUCACAUUUUUUUAACGAAUUUAUGUGCUUCAUUUAUUAGACUAGGAUAACGUCUCCUUGCAUAUCGUGUCUUCGAUGUGAUUAAAAUUUUAUAUCGAUAAUAUUAAUUGAUAUAAUUUGGAUAAAAUCAGGAUUUGCUCAAUAUCGAUAUUUGUAAAAGUUGUGAAAAUAAAAAAUACGAAUAUGAAAUGGCACGAACGUCCAUAGGCUAAUAUUAAUAAGGCUAUGAUAAUAGGACAGAAUAUGUAUCUUAUACUUUAGUAAUUAAAGUUGAGAAUUCCAUACCACACAUGCUGUAGUGUAAUAAAUAAAAUUUGUGUUCUUUAUAAAUAUAGCAACAGUUUAUUAAUUUCAUUCGUAGUUAAAGUUCUAUGGUUCGUUAGUUACAGUGAUAAAAUAUUACGAUAAUUAUUAAAAUAUAAACACGGUAUUAGAACGGUAUUUUACAAUAUUUUUUCUUCCUAAGAUAUUUAGCUUCGAAAAGGUUAAACUUUUCUCUAUCAGCAUAAAACGUAUUAAAAAAGGAGGAUAGAUUAAAGGAUCAUCGUAACAUUAAGAAAUAGAAGAAGAAUUACAAAAAAACUCGAUACAUUUCGAUAGGAUGUGUUACAGGAAUAUAUCGGUAUUAGUGUUUAAUCUUUAUCUUGCAAACUAUGGAAGGAAAUGUAUUCCAUCGGCUUCGUACGUACGUGUUUCAGUUUAUUUAUUAA